UAUCAUUUGCUCCACCAAACCCUAAGUUUCCUGUUUCUCAAUCUCUCCCUCUUUCCGCCGCACUUCACUUCUCCCUUCUGCACCUCAAUCUCUUCCACCUGCCUCGCCUCCACCGCCCAGUGCACUAAACUUCUCUCUGUCUUCGUCUCGCUCGUCCUCGGCGCAUAAGUCGUCCCCAAGACGGAGUGCGUCAAAGAGUCGGCCAUGGCCGUUCUUCACGGCGACAUCAUUCGUCGGCAUCUUCAUAUUCAGAUCUAGAUCUACCAUGAAAGGCAAUGGCCGCUUCAUAUCCGACCAACACAUCGCGUGUUCUACAUCCAGCGGCGGAGGUGGAGGCAGUGACGACUUCAAAUCGGCAUCUCUCCCUUCUGAUCCAGCCUUCAAUCUCCAUUUACUGCGACGAAGACAACUAUUACGAUCUCUUAGAGUCUCUCAAAAUGCCAAUGCCUCUGACUGGUAAGUUAGGGGUGAGAAACUUUUCCUUUGUGGGUUGUAUUAAUUAAACAGGUUGAUUCUUUACUUGCAAAUACUGAAAGCCACAAGAGUACACUAUGAUUAUGCAAUUGCCUACCCAGAGGAGGUCAAGGUGGGAGAGCCAGGUUGGAAAGAUAGGUAUUAUGAGGAUAAGUUAUCUGAAAAAAUACCUAGGAAAUGGUAGAGAUACGGAAAGAUGUUGUAAGUUGUCUUGAAUGUGCUAGUCGAACAGACUCCAAUACAAUGCUGCUCUACUCACUAAUGUGGUGGGCUAAGAUAGUUCCUACAUGAUGAAUUUUUAUUUUUUUUGCUUUUAUGCUCUUAUUAUUUGAAAAGACUCUACAUGUGUAAAACUUUUGUUCAAUUGUUUGUGGACAUGAGAUACUUGAGAGCUAGUAUAUAUUCUUACUGGAGUUAUCAUUCACCUCUAACCAUCUAUCUUGGAUCUCAUUUUUCUAUAGUUCUCUUGAAAAAAGAUGCAGGAUCUGAAAUGGGUGCCUCUGCAGCUUCACCAAGUGACAAUAUAUCAUAUUGUUACUACAUGAACGCGUAUGAUAUAAGCAGUACAAAAUGAGUCAUUUAGCAGAGGCAGGUCAUACGCUAAGUUGAGCUGAGGCAAAGCUUGUUCUCAUUCCUCUUAAACACGCAUUUGAGACAAAAAAUAUAAAAGUCAUGGAGCUUCCUUUAGAUUGUCUUCAUGUAUUUGCUCAUAAAUCUGAUGGAAGUUAUAUAUGGAUUUGACACCAGAUGAAACUAAUAAAUCAAGGGACAUCAAAAGCUUAGUACUGUGUUUAGGCAGAUUGAAACUGACCUGGUAUGUAAUUAGGGAGUGGAUUAGAAAAAUUCUUAUUUCUUUUUGGGUACACAUGAGAAGUACUUGUGCACUGAAACUAUUAUUGUAUUAGAAUGUAUCUUAGAUUCUAUUAUAUAUUGUGUUUAAUAGUUUGGAUUAUAUAAA